rnacentral:lncRNA from 1 species
UCUGUAACUCCUCUUGCAGCGUCGGACCGAACAGGGUGCGGGCUCCCCGUGCGAGGGUCCUGUGCCGCUCGUCUGGGCGAGCAGCAAGGAGGGCGCCUGCUGGCGGGUGUGAUCCCUGUGGCGCCGCGGGUUUCGGACGUGGCUGUUUGGACCUGGGGAGCGAAGAGGUCCCCGAGCCUUUGGAGCAUGUUCUCCAGGUGCAAUUGGCCCCUCGUUUCCCUGUCACUUUUUGCAAGCCUCACCUUUUGCCUUUAUUUGAAAAAACAGCUUCCUGUUUGUGUUGCAUGAGCCGCACUGGCUCUUCCGACAUCUGCUUCUCUGCAAAAUAGUUUUCCUCUCCACCUCUCGUUUGAAGCUGGGUGGAAGUGUUUCUGGGUGUGAAAGAUGUUUUUCUUUCUCUUAUCCCACCAGGGCCACCUAAAACCUCCUCUUACGGUCUGUCAGGUGUUUGGAUGUGUUGUAAUGCUGUUGUGUCUUUGCAAACUUAGGACAAUUGCUUGUUCAAGUUGUUGACUUUUUUCUUUUUUUGGUGCUAAAACUAUAUAGUCUUGCUGACUAAGGUUUGUGAAGCUGCUGUAUUGCAGCUUUGUGACUUUGGAUCCCAAACGGUGUCUGCCUGCAAAUCCUGGGGCCAAACGCAUGAACGGAGCUGCGUGUCAGCAGAGCUCAGCCGUGCGCGUGCGUUUUUCGCCGCCGUGUGACACACAGUGGCUCUUGUGUCGCCUUGAACAAAAGCAGAAAGGAUUAAGAUGGAGUGAAUCAAGCUGGAAAGUUUACCUAGCAAACACAGAUAUGGAUGAAGUUUUGGCAGGUACUCAGCACUCACAGCAAACUUUGCAUGCCUUUCCGUGCAUCGGCGGAUCGUGUCCUCAGUCAGCGUCCUUGGGAAGCAAUAGCCUUGAGGCUGUUGUCCAGGAAAGGGUUUUUAGGUGGGACUGCGGCCACCUGGUGUGUGGAAGCUGGCUUGAUUUGCAAGCGCUGCAAAGGGAUCUGCUGCUUCCGCCGUUCAGUUUCCUGCAACAUCCUGUAGACUGGUCAGAUCUCCCUGCAAAGCCAACACAGGCAGAGCCACAAAGCCGUGUUCUGCCCGGAAAAUGCCUGGGCGAUUUUUGAAAUGCUGCUCCUGGUGACAGUAUGUGAGGAAAAGAUGACCUCUUCAAGUUUGUGCAGAAACUUUCCUUUUUCAUCUCAAAUCUAGCACCUGGCUCUUUUCUUUCGUGUUUAAAACUCCAGUGCUGCAAAUGCUUGUCCAUUCCCACUGUCUUUGGAUGAAGAACUGUAAUUAUCCAGUUUUUAUUAAAGUACAGAUAUGCUCCUUCAGAGGCUUUCCAUCAUGCAGUGCCAUAUGAAGGACGGAUGCCAGAGCUGUUCAUGUUGGUAACUGCUGGAGCGUGUUGAU